GCCAAUGCAUGCUUUUACAGUAUGGAAAUUGGUGAUUUAUAAUAACUUGGCAAAUCGCAAAGUGAAAACAGGCGAUAAAUCAUUCAAGUUUCUGACCUAUCAGCUUUCGACGGUAUGGUAUUGGCUUACCGUGGCAGUGACGGUUAACGGGGGAUUAGGGUUCGAUUCCGGAGAGGGAGCCUGAGAAACGGCUACCACAUCUAAGGAAGGCAGCAGGCGCGCAAAUUACCCAAUUCUAACAGUUUGAGAGAGGUAGUAACAAGAAAUAACAAUACAAGGCAAUUAAAAUGUUUUGUAAUUGGAAUGAUAGAAAUUUAAACCCUUUUUAAAGUAUCAAUUGGAGGGCAAGUCUGGUGCCAGCAGCCGCGGUAAUUCCAGCUCCAAUAGCGUAUAUUAAAAUUGUUGCAGUUAAAAAGCUCGUAGUUGAAGUUCUGCUAAAAGUAACCGGUCUGCUUUUAAUAAAAGUGGUAUCUUGGUGUGUAUUUAGCAAUGAUGUCCUUUGAAGUGUUUUUUACUUUAUUGUAAUAAAGCAUAUUCAGGACUUUUACU
rnacentral:rRNA from 1 species